GGGAAGUUCUCAGAGCAGGGGCCCAAAGAAUAGAUCUUCAGUUCAUAAGGUACCCACUAAUAACUUGUGGUCUCUUGUGAGGAAGAAAACAAAAAUGUGUGGCCUUCUUGUGAAUAAAUGCCCUAAAUGU